rnacentral:rRNA from 1 species
UACGAAGGGGGCUAGCGUUGUUCGGAAUCACUGGGCGUAAAGCGCACGUAGGCGGAUCUUUAAGUCAGGGGUGAAAUCCUGGAGCUCAACUCCAGAACUGCCUUUGAUACUGAAGAUCUUGAGUCGGGAGAGGUGAGUGGAACUGCGAGUGUAGAGGUGAAAUUCGUAGAUAUUCGCAAGAACACCAGUGGCGAAGGCGGCUCACUGGCCCGAUACUGACGCUGAGGCACGAAAGCGUGGGGAGCAAACAGGG